GCAAGUCGAACGAGCGAGAGAGAGCUUGCUUUCUCGAGCGAGUGGCGAACGGGUGAGUAACGCGUGAGGAACCUGCCUCAAAGAGGGGGACAACAGUUGGAAACGACUGCUAAUACCGCAUAAGCCCACGGUGCCGCAUGGCACAGAGGGAAAAGGAGCAAUCCGCUUUGAGAUGGCCUCGCGUCCGAUUAGCUAGUUGGUGAGGUAACGGCCCACCAAGGCGACGAUCGGUAGCCGGACUGAGAGGUUGAACGGCCACAUUGGGACUGAGACACGGCCCAGACUCCUACGGGAGGCAGCAGUGGGGAAUAUUGCACAAUGGGGGAAACCCUGAUGCAGCGACGCCGCGUGGAGGAAGAAGGUCUUCGGAUUGUAAACUCCUGUUGUUGGGGAAGAUAAUGACGGUACCCAACAAGGAAGUGACGGCUAACUACGUGCCAGCAGCCGCGGUAAAACGUAGGUCACGAGCGUUGUCCGGAAUUACUGGGUGUAAAGGGAGCGCAGGCGGGAAGACAAGUUGGAAGUGAAAUCUAUGGGCUCAACCCAUAAACUGCUUUCAAAACUGUUUUUCUUGAGUAGUGCAGAGGUAGGCGGAAUUCCCGGUGUAGCGGUGGAAUGCGUAGAUAUCGGGAGGAACACCAGUGGCGAAGGCGGCCUACUGGGCACCAACUGACGCUGAGGCUCGAAA
rnacentral:rRNA from 1 species